rnacentral:rRNA from 1 species
AUGCAUUCUAGUUCUAGAAGAAACUAUGAUUCCGGUGCUUUCAAGCGUAAGAAGAAAUUAAAAUUAGAAGAGGAUGUUGAAUCUCAAAAGGGUGCCAUUGAUAAAUUUGUUAUGAAAAGACCCCAAACUAAUUCUGAAAAUCAAACACCAGAAGCUAAUAUUGAUGAUGGUCAUGGUAAUAAUGCAGAAGAGGCUGAGAUUCAUGCUAUAGAAAUUCAAGAAGGUGAUGAUGGUCAUAGUGAUAAUGCAGAAGAGGUCGAGGCUCCUGCGACGGAAAUUGAUGAAGAUCAUGGUCCUAAUAUUUCCGUUAACAUGAAUAAUUCUGUUCAGCCUGAUAUUUUUGAUACUAGAAACUGGGAUGGACUUGAUCCUAAAAAGAUUGAUAUUUUGCUGCAAAGGGGUCCUAAAAGAGAAGAUAUUGAGCAUUGUUCGUAUGACAAGUUCUCCAGAAGGUUUUCUGCAUUGUCAUUUAAUAGAAUUCUCUCAAAUGGAGAAAUGUUUGACAGAGAGUAGCUUGUAUACAGUAGCGACCUUGACAAUGUAUUUUGUUUUUGGUGCAAAUUAUUAAAAAGGGGGUUUGUGAGAGGCCAGCUAGCAAAUGAUGGUUUAAGUGACUGGAUUGAUCUUGGGGCUAGACUUAAAGAGCAUGAAUCAAGUAUAGAGCAUAUCACAAAUAUAAUUGCAUGGUAUGACUACCGUCUCAGGUUCCAGAAGAAUACAAUUGAUGAAGUUGCUCAGGGAGAACUUGAAACAGAAAAGGAACAUUUGACACAAGUUUUGCUCAGGAUUUUGUUGAUUGUAAAAAAAUUUAGAGGACAUAAUAUAGCAUUUCGUGGUAGUAAUAGCAAGUUGUACCAAGAGAGAAAUGGGAAUUUUCUAGUAUUGGUUGAAAUGUUGGUUGAAUUCGACACAGUUAUCAAAGAGCAUGUUGACCGCCUUGUUGGGGAAUGUAGUAAUUUCAAAAAAAAUCCUACGCACACGCAAGAUCAUGGUGAUGCAUAG